GAGCCACAGCCGCGGUAAUACCGGCAGCCCGAGUGAUGGCCGAUAUUAUUGGGCCUAAAGCGUCCGUAGCUGGCCGAACAAGUCCGUCGGGAAAUCCACGUGCUUAACACGUGGACGACCGGCGGAAACUGUUCGGCUUGGGGCCGGAGGACCCGAGGGGUACGUCCGGGGUAGGAGUGAAAUCCUGUAAUCCUGGACGGACCGCCGGUGGCGAAAGCGCCUCGGGAAGACGGACCCGACAGCGAGGGACGAAAGCUGGGAUCUCGAACCGGAUUAGAUACCCCUGUAGUCC
rnacentral:rRNA from 1 species